UCUUGGCUGACUGCGGAGGACAUUA
rnacentral:rRNA from 1 species